rnacentral:tRNA from 1 species
UUGGGAAGUCGCCAAGCGGUUAAGGCUCUGGUUUUUGGUGCCGGCAUCGGGGGUUCGAAUCCCUCCUUCCCAGU